GCAGCUGCUCCCAACCCCAGCGCCUUUGCUGUCUUGGAACAGAUCACCACUGCAAGAGGGGAGGUUGCUACUGUGAUGAAUUCUGCCAUGUGGUACCAGACUGCUGCCCAGACCACAGUGUCCUCUGCAACCCUGCUUCUCAGAUGACCAAGAUGGGGCUGCAGAUGGUGCUGAAGAUGGAGAACCCACCCAGCCCUGCUAGGAGCCAUCUAGACUGGGUGCAGAGCACGGUUCAGCGGCUUCUCCAAACCAGCCUCCCAGGAAUACCAUUCUCCAUGGCCAUAGAGGGGAUCAAGAAGAAAGCCUGACUCCUCUCCUGAGGCCCCUUCCCCACCCCGAGCCAGCAGGAUCCAUGGAGCAGAGGUCAUCUGUCCCCAGCGUGGCCGGCUGAGGCCAGAACUGCUGGGCCAGGGGUGCUUGUCUCUCAGCUCACAUCCUGUAUACUUUCACAUUGGUUUAGCCAGAGCAAAACUGAAAUCUACAGUUGUCAUGAACACGUUUAAAUGUGCGUCGAAUCAG